GGCGGGAAUAUAGGAAAAUUGCUGCUAACAAUUUGAUGAGAUCUGGUAGUUCUCGAUUCCUU
rnacentral:tRNA from 1 species